rnacentral:piRNA from 1 species
CAUAAAUUGAAGAAGGAGGAAUAG